rnacentral:rRNA from 1 species
GAUGAACGCUGGCGGCGUGCUUAACUCAUGCCAGUCGAACGGAAAGGCUCCUGCUUGCAGGGGUACUCGAGUGGCGAACGGGUGAGUAACACGUGGGUGAUCUGCCCUGCACUUCGGGAUAAGCCUGGGAAACUGGGUCUAAUACCGGAUAGGACGAUGGUUUGGAUGCCAUUGUGGAAAGUUUUUCGGUGUGGGAUGAGCUCGCGGCCUAUCAGCUUGUUGGUGGGGUAAUGGCCUACCAAGGCGUCGACGGGUAGCCGGCCUGAGAGGGUGUACGGCCACAUUGGGACUGAGAUACGGCCCAGACUCCUACGGGAGGCAGCAGUGGGGAAUAUUGCACAAUGGGCGCAAGCCUGAUGCAGCGACGCCGCGUGGGGGAUGACGGCCUUCGGGUUGUAAACUCCUUUCGCUAGGGACGAAGCGCAAGUGACGGUACCUGGAGAAGAAGCACCGGCUAACUACGUG